rnacentral:rRNA from 1 species
UACGAAGGGGGCUAGCGUUGCUCGGAAUCACUGGGCGUAAAGGGUGCGUAGGCGGGUCUUUUAAGUCAGGGGUGAAAUCCUGGAGCUCAACUCCAGAACUGCCUUUGAUACUGAAGAUCUUGAGUUCGGGAGAGGUGGGUGGAACUGCGAGUGUAGAGGUGAAAUUCGUAGAUAUUCGCAAGAACACCAGUGGCGAAGGCGGCUCACUGGCCCCGAUACUGACGCUGAGGCACGAAAAGCGUGGGGGAGCAAACAGG